AUAUUUGCCAGUGGUUAGCCUCCAGUUAAAUGUGCAUGCUAGAGAAGACCCUUACAGAACAUGGCCUCAAGAAAAAUGAACUAUGACAGAGAGAAAACAGCUGAACCCAGAACCCAAGAUGUAGCCAUGCCAAUCAGUGAUUGUUUUGGAAACAUGAAACAAUUGGAGAUCUGAAGUCUGGCAUCCAGAGACUUUUCCUGGCUGACCUUUUGGAGAAUGUCCAACAUUGAGAAAAUGGAAUCCAAAAGAAGACACAGAACCAGGCUCCAUGUUUUCAGAGACUGCACUACGUUGGUCAUUGGAGUUAAAUGUGUUCAUAUCCAUCGGCUCUGUGCUCUGUCACGCAAAAUAUUAAAAUGAAAUGCUAGGAGAACAGUUUGAAGCAAUCCUUCCUGUUCUUGAAAAUCACCUUUAGCUGCUGAGAACGCUGGUAAGCCCUUUGUAGCUUACUGGGGGCACAUUUAUCAGUGAGGCAGCUAAGCCAAUUGUAGCUGCAUUCACAGGUGACCGUGCUGUCUGCCUGCCUUCCCAGAGAUACAAGAAACAAAACCAAACUGAUAGAGAGGAUCUGGCAUUGCAAAUUCACCCAAGAGAGGAGCCCAGGCCAGACUUCUGUUUUUAUGGACAGGAACAUUCGGUCCUCAGCAGACUUGCCUCUGAAUUCACAGGCUCCUCUUACAAUGCAAGCCACAAUUCUGAAAAAUAAAAGGGGAUCUCAAGCAGAAAAAGACAUUACAAAUAAGGAUCAUUCAACAACAAUAACCAAAAAAUAAACCCUGGCAACCACUGUGCUAAGCAGCCCUGGCGGAUGCCAGUCUUGC
rnacentral:lncRNA from 1 species